GACGAACGCUGGCGGCGUGCUUAACACAUGCAAGUCGAACGGAAAGGCCCUGCUUUUGUGGGGUGCUCGAGUGGCGAACGGGUGAGUAACACGUGAGUAACCUGCCCUUGACUUUGGGAUAACUUCAGGAAACUGGGGCUAAUACCGGAUAUGAGCUCCUGCUGCAUGGUGGGGGUUGGAAAGUUUCGGCGGUUGGGGAUGGACUCGCGGCUUAUCAGCUUGCUGGUGGGGUGGUGGCUUACAAAGGCUUUGACGGGUAGCCGGCCUGAGAGGGUGACCGGCCACAGUGGGACUGAGAUACGGCCCAGACUGCUGCGGGAGGCAGCAGUGGGGAAUAUUGCACAAGGGGCGGAAGCCUGAUGCAGCAGCGCGGCGUGCGGGAUGACGGCCUUCGGGUUGUAAACCGCUUUCGCCGGUGACGAGGCGUGAGUGGCGGUAAGGGGUAAAGAAGCACCGGCUAACUACG
rnacentral:rRNA from 1 species